GUGGAAGGAAUUCAGUGCCUCGCUCCUUGCUCAAGCAGGGCGGUGGGCUGCUGCGACAGGAGGGUGGGCUCACACACCACGGGGCCGCCUGCAGAGAGGAGCGAGGCACGGCUGCCUGCAAGCCGCUCGCUUGGGAGUGGUGCAGAUCUCACCAGUGUCUCUCUGGGUUUUCUUUGCAAAUCCCCCGCAGGCAGAGUUUGCUCAACUAGUUGAACUGGCUCUUUCUCUCUUGUUUUUUUGGCAAACCAAGGAUUUCCUUCCUGAUAAAAACAGCCGGCCGGCGCCCCGAUUGGGUGCAGGGUUGCGGAGGAUAUGACAUCAGGCACAUCUCUCGCUUCAUGCAGUGUGGUCUGCCUGAUUGCUGGCUGCCUACCAGUGGAGCCGGGGAGGUGUUUCCCUAAACCCCAUCCCAGGUACUUGAGUUUCUGCACAAAGUGGUGCUGCACCGAGUCCCAGCCCGCUGCGAGGUUUGUUGGAGUGGUGCACAAGCAGUCUGCUCAACAGAUCACUCACGCAUGCAGGGGCUCGCCGAGGACGAUGGAAUUUGAACCCUCAAGAGCAACGCUGAAGUGAGAAAACAGAAACUGGGCAGACAAGGCUGAGAUGGAUGAUGAGGGAACGAGUCAAAAUGCCAGUAAAUCACAAGGAGUCGGGGGCCAGGUGUCUGCAACGUCUCCAUCAUUGCUGCUGAUGAGGGACUUUGUUUCAGACUGGUCUCCUUUACAUGAUGCCUCUAUCCGUGGGCGCCUGCUUACUCUAAAGAAACUCAUCAGCCAGGGGAGUGAUGUUAAUCUUGUUACAACAGACCAGGUGUCUCCCCUCCAUGAAGCCUGCCUAGGUGGUCAUGCUGCUUGUGCAAGUGUCCUAUUAAAACAUGGUGCUAAGGUGAAUGGAGUGACUGUUGACUGGCACACUCCUUUGUUCAGCGCCUGUGUCAGUGGCAGUGUGGCUUGCUUGAAUUUACUGCUGCAACACGGAGCCAGCCUGCACCCGCCCUGUGACUUAGCAUCCCCCAUCCAUGAAGCUGCUAAGAGAGGUCAUGUGCAAUGUGUUGAGAUCCUCGUGUCCCAUGGGGUGAACAUAGAUUAUAACAUCAAACAUCUGGGUACUCCGCUUUAUGUAGCUUGUGAGAACCAACAAGUCAACUGUGCCAGGAAGCUGCUUGAGUCAGGAGCAAAUGUGAACAGCGGCCAGGGCCUGGAGUCCCCACUGCAUGCAGCCGCCAGGAGUUGCAGUGAGGAGCUGGUGAUGCUGCUGAUUGACUUUGGAGCAGACAUUUGGGCAAAGAACGCCAAAAGCAAGAGGCCGAUGGAGCUGGUUCCACCUGGAAGCCCUUUGGGUCGUCUGUUCCUGCAGAAAGAAGGGCCGCUGUCCUUGAUGCAUUUAUGCCGCCUGUCCAUCAGGAGGUGCUUUGGACAUAAGCAGCACCAGAAAAUAACUGGUCUUCUCCUCCCAGAUGAGCUGAAACGUUUUCUUCUCCAUGUUUAAGCCUUUCGAGUUUAAAGUGGUGCCUUAAUAACACAGCAAGGUUUGUUGAGGAAAGACUUCCCAUCAGUAGUGUUGCCAAUAUGCAGUGUUAAUUUAUGAUAGCUGUUGUCUCUAGUAGAGCCCUCAGUCCAGGAAGGAUGGGAACAACCAACUUGCUGAGUCCUCCCAGCCACCACCCCCAGCAAACCAGUAACUUGAAAAGGAGAUAAUGGCUGACAACACCUUACCAAGAAAAUUCAUAUCCCAGCCUGGCAGGAACAGCAUUUUGUGUGCAUUAAACUCUAAGGAUAGCUGCACUUUUUCUGUGUAAGCAGGGCUUACGGAUGUGAGGGCUGCAUCCACACCACUGUAAGGUAAGGAAAGGGAACCCAGCUGAACCUACUUUCAAAGCAAGCAAGGCCCUCUGGCAGGUGUUAUUUAUUUUCUAUGUAUAUCACGCUGCAGAUAGAUGAGCACCAACCACCAAUCAUCUGCAUUUAGGCCAGGAUCUGAAAUACACAUUUCUGCCAUGACAGCAAGUAAGUCACUGCUGCUGGCAGCUCCCCACAGUGCGGUAAUAAUGGAGGAAAUGUUUUUAAUCAUCCAUUUAUAUCACUUAUUCCUGUUGCUCUGAGACAUAAGGGAGCCCCACCUCACUAUUACAUAUAUUUUCCUUGUAGCAUAUUAUUUUUUCAAGGGCACAGGCUAACAGGCUAUCGCUUGCAGGUGUUAAACACUCCCCCUUUCUGCCCUGAGUAUUCAGCGACAUUUCCUAAGUAUUUCUCAGCAUGCAUCUGAAAAACAAGAGCUUCUAUCUCCCUUCCCAUCCAAGAAAAAAGAACAUCUUGAGAAAAGCUGUCCUGCUGCCACAAACCAAAGCGCAGUUACAAUCACUCUGUGCUCUCCUGGAUUCUCCCAUGGGAAUACUGACUAUCCAACAGGCACGAGACUGAGGAUGAUGGUCUAGUUCUUCCGCCACCAGCCUCAUCCUACCUCCAUCUCUGGACCACUGUGCACCUGCAGGGUUGUUGCACGUGUGCCAGAGGGGCAGGCCAAGCACUUGGGUGAUUUUGGAGAUCCUUUUCUUCUUCACUUAGCUAUGAAGACUCCUGCAAGAGUGAGCUCGGUGUGCACAAACUGCAGUGAAAUCAUGAGCAAUGAGAUACAGACAGUCCUCAUCUCGUGUUAGUGGAGAGAGCAGCAGCCUUCAAAUACACACACAGUUCUGGUGUUUGCUGGUGUGCGUGUGUGUGCAGAGCCAGCCUUCCUUUUGCUUAUGAGAAGUAUGAGAGGAGGGACCAAAGGCUACACCUGGGUACUUGUAUUUGUUGUAAAGAACAGUUCAGAUACUCAGCUGGACAACACAACUACUGGCUGCAGGUGUUCUCCGGUAUAAGCGUUUAAUUGUUGUGCUGACCAAACACAGCAGGAGCAGUUCCUUUGGCUUGUGGGACACUAAAUUGUACCCUAUUGAGACAAAAUGAGAAGUACAGUCAGGUCCUUACAAUUCCUUUUUAUGGGAUAUGGACAUCUAGACAUCUUCACUGAUCUGACCCAAUUCAUCACAUGUUAUCUGAGCCAUAUAAAAAAUCACUGGCUGGUUUAAGAUGGCCAUCUAUACUCUUUCUUUCCUGCUGGGGGAAAAAAAUAGACAUUUGUCUUCAUAUGCUGAUUGAAAGGUGUCUUGUAUGGGUAGAUCCUUUUAAAAUCACUAUCAUGCAUAAGCUGAAUCUCCGUUGAACAGGCAGGGAACAGACAGCUAACCCAGUGCUUAACUUUUUGAAGAUGAAAGUGAAGUAUGAAGAAUCCCUGUUUUGGUCACACAUCUGAAAGUUGAAAAUACAGCUUAUUUUAUUUUAGAUGAAGAUUUUCUUUUUUUAUCUGCUAUUUUCAUUAUUUACCUUUACGCAUCUUAUUUUGUAGCAUCACUCAAUGGGUUUACCAGAGUAAUACAAGGAGAAUAUUGCUCAGAGAAGGUGGUGAGAUCAUUGUUUCUAGAUUGCUUUUCAUUUGGAAAUUUCAAAGCUUGACUCUGCUUACUUGAAUCCCUCAGAUCAUGUAAAAUUAGGAUGAAUUCUCUAUGCUUCAUUUGUAUCAUCUCGAUAUAUUUGCUUAUUUAUUUUAAUAAAAAUUGUGAUCAACACUGGUAAAGUAUAUCUUUAUGCAUCAACACGUCCAUUUAUAAACUGCAAAAGUUGUACAAGAUGCAAACCAAAUAAGCUAAAUAUAGGUGAGAUUUAGACAUUUUUCUCUAUUUGAAACCAAAUGUAAUUGCAGGAUUUGAAAGAUUGUUAUGAAUAUAUUUUAUCAGAUUCUUUGCUGUUAUUUUGCUGGCAGUUUAGUGAAUAUCAAUGCACAGUUGUAUAGGAUAUCAGCUCAAAAAUAAAUGGUUUAUAAUCUGUU